GGCAAGAGUUGUUAUGCUGUAGCUCUUAAAGGGUGUGUGUGUGUGUGCUUGCGUUUGUGCAUGUGAGUAGUUCUGUGGUUUCUCAGAAGCAACACAUUUAAGGAACAGCUGAUGGGCUGCAAAUGGAGGAGGUAUGGCUUCUCAAUCAGCACAGUCAACACGUAGCUCACCACCAGCGUCAGCACCAGGUGGCCAAGGAACAGGUACAUCUAUAGGAGAGAGGAGACAGACAGCACGGCCAGUAUGAUCCAGGCCACAGCGAGAGCCCAGAGUGGUCUGUGCAGUCCUUGAUAGAGGGCAUGUGGCACUGAUGGAUAAGGUGGGGUAUCCUUGAGGACGUAGGCCAAUCCAACCACCGCAGCCAUGACAGAAAAACAGCAGAACCAACCAAGUGCUGCCUGCCACUGGAACAACAGCAACAGUAAACACAUACAUCUGAUGGCAGCUUAGUGGCUUGUAUGUGUACUUAAUCUGGUUGGCUUAAUAAUAUAUAGCAAAUGAUGUGCUGAAAUGUCUGCUAAAAAAAACAACAAAAAAAAACAUACGUAGUGAUUCUGUCAGAAAUACCUUCUCCUUUAAAAGCUGAUCUUUCUUUGUCAUCAGGUAUAUUCCAGUCAAGAUCCCAAUUAAAAAUGGCCCAUAUCUUGUGUAGGGUUUCACAUAGUACUGUAAGACAUAAUUGUAAGAUGUCCUGCAAAAUAAAUAUAUAAAAUUAAAUAAAGAAAAUUAAAUAAA